UACGAUCAGCGAAGUUAAGCAACGUCGAGCCUGUUCAGUACCUAGAUGGGUGACCACUUGAGAAUACCAGGUGCUAUAA